UAUAUCUCAUGGAAUAACAGGUACAUGACAGGCAACAUGCACAACUUGUCCUAUAAAUACAGAUCUUGGGAAAUCCUUUAGACCAUCAAGAAUUCUCACAUUCUUCUCUUUUUCUCUCUAGCUCUCUCUCCCUCUUUCUCUCAAGCUUUUUUCUUUCUCUACAUUGCUUUUCAUCUGCAAGAAUUGGGUUGAGGAGCAAGUCAAGAAAGAACUUGAAGCUCAUGUUUUUCCUUGUUAAGUUUGUUUUGAAUUUAUAAAUUAGAGAGGAGGCACACAUGUGGAGUUGUUGACAGAAGAUAGAGAGCACAGAUGAUGAAAUGCAAAGGAAGCUAAUAAGCAUCUCACUCCUUUGUGCUCUCUAUCCUUCUGUCAGCAUCUGCAGCCCCCUCACUCCUUUGUGCUCUCUAUCCUUCUGUCAGCAUCUGCAGCCCCCUCACUCAUUGCUUAACACACACAUACCACACAUACAUAUCAGUAGCAUGCCUUUGUUAGUAAUUAAGCAUAUAUUAACUUGCCGGGAUUUUUUUUUUAUUUCUUAGUUUAUCUUUAAACUUAAUGCACAUUAUUUUGUCAAUAAAUUUAUUGAUCAUAUUACCAGAGUUAAAAGUAUUGUUGCAUGUUGUCAUUAUGUCUAGGCAUUCAUAUUGAAACUCCACUUGGAGCAACUUGUUGAAUUCAAGCACAGAAUAUGGCACCAAAAAUCUCUCUCUCUCUCUCUCUAUAUAUAUAUAUAUAUAUAUAUACUUGAUCGUCAAUCAAGAAAUUGGAUAGAUAAAUCUAUUAGUGCUUAAAUACGAAUCUAAAGUUUUUAGGAGAAGGGUUAACAUAAUUGUAUUAUAUUCUCUCCUCAUGUCUAGGCUGGGGACCAUUUUUUCAGCUCAAUUAGGUCUUUGCAUGUGGUUUGGUGUGAGACAUCAAGUUUUGAAAACAAAAUCUGAUGGACUUUUGUCUCUUAUACUAUGUUUAAUUUUCUGUAUUUCCAAAAGCUUAAGCAAUUUAACGGUGAAUUGCUAUUAUAUUUAUACUAUUACCAAAAGCUUAAGCAAUUGGUAGGUGAAUCAUUAUUACAUCUAUACUAUCUUAAUAUGGCUGUAGUACUCUUCUAAUGUUCAUGGUCUUGCUAAUUUUUUGUUUUACGAAAAUGGCGCUUAUGAAAGAACAUCUCCAAUGAGCUAACCAGGUAUGUUUUGGUCUAAACUACUAUAUGAACUCAAAUCUGAAAUCAUGUAUUCUUAAGCAAUUGAUUGCGUAAAGAGACCUUACAGAUUUUGUAAUCAUAAAAAGUAAUCAUCUGAAUAGUUUUCCAGAUUAAUGUUAGAUGCCAGAAAGCAAAAUCAUGAUCGCACAUUUAGGUAUUGGUAUAUACUUUGAGCGUCAGGAUUUUUUGAAAUGUACAUUUCAAGUGUCAAAGAUUACAUUCUUCCACAUCUCUAUCCCAAUAGUAUUUAACUGUUUUUGCUUUAAUAAUUGUUUUCAUAGUUGGAUCUACUGUAGUAUAUAUGUUGGUAUAUGGUCAUGGUGUUGAUUCUUCUAAACUUAUAUCUUUUUUCUAUGCCUUUCGGAAAAUCUUGGGUUAGAAGUUGCAUCUUUCUUUCCAAAUAUCCGGUCAAAACCAUUAACAAAGUAUACCCUGUCAUUAAACUCAGUAUUUGGCAUAUUUUACAUUUUUUGUCUUCAUUUUUUCAUUUUUACUCUAAGAAAAAUCUCAUGAACUUACAUAAAAAGUGCAAAUGGUGCGCAGUUAUAUUCCCCAACAGUAAACAGCAAAAAAUCAUUAGGAGAGGCAAGUAUUUUUGCAUAUAAAGGGCAAGAUUGGGCUCAUUUUAUGAAAUGAAAACAAAUUGAUCUUAUGAUUUGAAAAAUAAAUGUAAUUCCAUGGGUCUUAGCAAAAAAAAAAAAAAAAAUACAUGUAAUUUUCAUGAGUCUCUAUUCUCUUAACAGCUAAAAAUAAAAGCCACUUUCCCUUCCAUUUAUUAUAUAUGGGCUCUGCCAACAAAUAUGUAUAUAGGCUUCGGCCCUGUUAUAACAUUUGGAUUGUUAGGUCCAUAUCCAACUACUGGUACUGGUAGAUUUCAUUUCCCUGCAGCCCAUCCUAAGGCAUGAAACGGUGAAGGAUUUAUGAAUAAAGAAAAUGGCAAAAACAUUUAAGAAUACAAAAUUAAAAAUUAACGAAUAAUAACAAUUAGAAAACUGAAGAAACCAGUAUGAACAAGGAGAAUUUCGUGUUGAUUGGAUUAGAAAGAGGGAAGCUUUCAUGAGGAAGAAGCCCCAAGGAAGCUGAAAUACAUGGAUACGAUUUGUCACGAGGAAGCGUGUGCAAGUAUUUGGAAACUAAUUUCUUGGCAUAUAGUUUUGAAUUAACUGCCAGUCUUGGGCUCCAACUACGGGUCGUGCACUCAUUAACUUCUUCUAAGUUCUACAUCCUUCUAAUCUCUCCUUAUUAUAAGCAAACACAUGCAUAGUUUAGCUUCCACUUGCAAUAUCAAUGACUCACCACAAGCAUCCUCCACCUCCAGGCCCACCACCGCCUAAUCCUUUCACUGCUCCUCCACCUCUGCCUCCGCCUUCGCCUCCGCCAGGACCAAUAGAGCCUCCACCGCCUUGGCCGCCUAUCCUGCCACCAUCAAGUCCACAUGGACCACCACCAGAACCACCUGGUCCUCCUCCCCCACCCCCUUAGCUUCACCAUCACCCUCCCCCACCACCUUAUUAAUGAUAGACCUCUUUAUGUACUAUUACCUCAUGAUCAUCUUAUGUAAAGAAAAUAAAUUAUGUGCUUAUCAAUUUCUUUUUUGUUUCUUUCUAGUAGUUAUUUGGUAGGGGAAGUCAUUUGGUUUAUCAAACUCCGAUGGUGUUUUCAGAGCACGGUGAUCGAUAUUUGACAUGUAAAUUAAUCAGUAAUAAAAAUAUCGAUAUCGAAGAUAUGAUUUUAUAAAAAAUUCGAUAUCGAUAGAAAUGUCAAUAAAAUUAUAAAAACUGUAAAUAUUUAAUUAAAAAUACAAAUUUUUACAUAUAAGAUAAUGAAUAUAACAAAAUAAUAUAAAAAUAUAAUGAUGAUAAAAUAGUUCAUAAAUAUUAAAAAUUAUUAUAAAUAAAAAAAUAUAAUAUUUAUAACACCAAAAUAUAAAAAAUUUAAUAAAUAAUAUCAAAAUACAUGAAAUUUUCAAAUACAAUUUACAUUAUUUUCAUUCCCUUAUUAUUAUUGUUUUUUAAAUCCUUAUCUGUAAAUUUAUUUAUUUAUUUAAACUUUUACUUUUUCACAGGUGAUUUAUUACAUAUUAUUGUUUUUUAUUUAAAUUCAGUGUAAAAGUAGUUUUGAUAAAUCAUGAACAAAUUAAAUUUAGAUUUAUGAAAAAAUAUAAAUUUAAACGUGGAAAUUAUCACCAUAGAAUGGAAGCUUUUUAGCAUGAAUCACGAAUCAUGAAUCACCCAUCUCCUAUCACUAAUCAUGAAGAAUUCCAUAAUGGUAAAAGAAACAUUGAAGCUUUUUAGCACAGUGGAAGUAAAUUAAACAAAAUUUAAAGUUGGUUUUGAGGUCAAAGGAAGAAAGGAGAAAAAAAAAAAAAAAAUUUCUUAUUUUUAUUUGGCAGACACAGAGAAAGCCAAGCAAAAGCGAAAAGAAAAACCCAUAGAGAACAGAAGCUCUCUCUCUUUGGGAGCUCAAAGACCACUACUCCAACGGACUUCUCCUUCUGUGCUCUUUUUUCUUUUUUCUCUUCUCUAAUCAAGUAAGCAGGUCCCCUUCUAUCUUCCAUCGAAAGAGAUGAAAAAGAGAGACAGCCGAGAUUUCCAAAAUUUUCCAAUCGACAACCGACAUCUUCACUAGGUUCCCAUCAUUAUCCACUGAAAACUCAAGAUUUCUACCGAUUUCAGAUGAUAUUAGUAAUAUUUUGUGGGAACAACGACAUUUAUCUAGCAUCACGAACAGAUAUUUCUUUCCCCCUCUGUUGGUGUCACCGGUCGCCGAAAUUUCAAAGUUCUCGACGACUUUUUCUUCUUUGAAAUUAAUUAUAUAUUUGGCAAACUAAUACAAUAAUGCUAUCUUAUCCCCUACGUAGAUACUUAAUAUGAUAUCA